UACGUAGGGCGCAAGCGUUGUCCGGAAUUAUUGGGCGUAAAGAGCUCGUAGGCGGUUUGUCGCGUCGGAUGUGAAAGCCCGGGGCUUAACCCCGGGUCUGCAUUCGAUACGGGCAGACUAGAGUGAUGUAGGGGAGACUGGAAUUCCUGGUGUAGCGGUGAAAUGCGCAGAUAUCAGGAGGAACACCGAUGGCGAAGGCAGGUCUCUGGGCAUUAACUGACGCUGAGGAGCGAAAGCAUGGGGAGCGAACAGG
rnacentral:rRNA from 1 species